UACGGGGGGAGCAAGCGUUGUUCGGAUUUACUGGGCGUAAAGGGCGCGUAGGCGGUCAGCACAAGUCAGUUGUGAAAUCUCCGGGCUUAACUCGGAAAGGUCAACUGAUACUGUGCGACUAGAGUGCGGAAGGGGCAACUGGAAUUCUCGGUGUAGCGGUGAAAUGCGUAGAUAUCGAGAGGAACACCUGCGGCGAAGGCGGGUUGCUGGGCCGACACUGACGCUGAUGCGACGAAGCCAGGGGAGCGAACGGG
rnacentral:rRNA from 1 species